GUACUUAACUUCGGCAGCACAUACACGAAAAUUAGAAUGAUACAGAGAAGAUUAGCAUGGCCUCAGUGAAAAGAUAACACACAUUUGUGAAGCAUUCCAUAUUAUU